GCCAUUUUUAUUAUAAUAUGUCUUGGUGUGGGCUUGUUUGGGUUCAACUUGUUUGGGGCCCUCUGUGCUUCCUGUAUCUUGAUAGCUGUUCCCUUUAGAUUUGGAAAGGUUUCAGCUAUAAUUUCUUCAACCAUAUUUUCAAUCUCCUUUUUCUUUUCCUUCUGGAAUCCAUAUUAUGCAUAGAUUGGCUCACUUUAUAUUAUCCCAAAGAUCUUGUAUAUUGCUUUCAUGUUUUUUUAAUUUGGUUUUCUGUCUGCUGUCCUGAUUGGGUGAUUUCAGUUACUCUUUCUUCCAAGUCACAAAUUCAUUCCUCUGCAUUGUUCAUUUUGCUCUUUAGUACCUUUAACUUGGUUUGUUUCUCUGCAAGAGAAUUUUCUAAUUUUUCUCGGCUCCUCAUAUUUUCUGUUUCCUUUCUAAAGUAAUCUGCAUUACUGUUUAAAUCCACUCUAACUUCCCUCAUAUUCACCCUUAAUUCCUUCAGUAUUUUCACCAUCUGCCUUUUGAACUUAGUGUGUAUGAGAAUGCAGAGGUCUGUUUCAUUGUUUGCUGCUUCAGGUGAAUUGUCCUGUUCUUUUAACUGAGAAUGGUUCCUGAGCUUCUUCAUUUCACUUAUAUUUUUCUUUUUCUGUGAGUUUAGGUAAACCAACUACUGUAGUCUUGGAGGGCUAUGUCUAUGCAAGAGUGCCCCUUUGUAUCUUGUGGAGGGGGAUCGCUAUUUAUUUUUGGAGUUUGGAUAUUUGCUGUCUCUUUCCUUGGUGUGAGCAGGCUCUUAUCCUCUUGAUAGGGUGCUGAGUGUGUUUCCAGGGAGAAGGAGGUAAUGGGUAGGGCUAGUAGUCAGUGCCUGUUUGCUGGGCUCUUGACAGUACCUAGGACCUGCAGGACGUUGGCACAGGCUACUCCUAUUUGCAGGGCCUGGGAAGUGGGUAAUGAGUCUCAGGAAAAUUUAGAUAGUGCCUGGAGUAUUUGGCAGUAGCAGGGUGUGAGAGUUCCCAGGGGAGUGAGAGCAACAAUGGGUGAUGUUUGAUCACAAUGCCCUCCUCUGUGGUGCCUUCUGAAGGUGAUUUGGGUGGUGCCUGUUCACAGACUCCUAGUGGUGGCGGGCCACCGCCCACCGCUGGAGUCAGAGAUAGCUAGAGUGGUUUGCCCCACCACCUGUAGACCACACAUGAUGUGCCCUGUCCUGCUUACCCCAUGCUGAAGGUGCUACACAGGCUGCUCCUAGAUGCAGGGUCCUGGGAAGUGACAGUGAUCAGGCAUGUGUGGGCACUUCCCUGAGUGUUUGGCAGUGGCAGCAGCAGAGUGGGUGUGUUUCUAGGGAAGUGAGAGCAACAAUGGGUGGUUCUCGAUUGCAGUGCCCUCUUUUUUGCCAUCCUCUGAGGUGAUUGGAGCCAUAGAUGGAGCCUGUUCACAGACUCCUGGUGGUGGCAGGUCAUGCCUCCCUCUGGUUUCUGAGAUGACUGCUGUCAUUUGUUCCUGCCACUUGCAGAUCACGCAAGAGGUGCCAUGUCACACUUAGCCUCCCACUGCCCUAGCCCAAACGAGAGGUGCCCAGUCUCCCAUAGCCCAAGAAAGUAACUUCUCUUGCCACCUGUAGCCUACAUGAGAGGUGCCCUGCCCUCUGAGAGCCCACUCGUGUACAGGGAAAGAGGGUUAUUAUUGUGGUCCACCCCUCCUCCUCUCACCCUCCCCAACAGUGGUGCCUUGCUUCUCCUGAGGGCCCAGACCUCCUCCUGGGUUCCCUCAGUUGUUAUGUUCCACUCCCUAGCUUCUCAGGCUGUCUCCACACAGCCAAUCCUAGUCCUCUCCCCAGAUCUGACCGCUGGAGCCUGGGUCUCAGCGCCCAGCCCCCUCCCAAGCAUUUCAGGCUGUGCUGUCUGGGGCAGUGGUGCAGAUAAUCUGUGCAACUCUCACUUUGCUUUGCCCUCCUCAGUCUAGCUUCUGUCCUUUUCUUGGAAACUUUGAGGUCCCUCCAUCUCAGCUGAUCUCCCCAUCUCUUAGGUGGCUUCCCAGUGUGUGGGUUCCAUUUCUCUUUCACAGCUCCCUCUCAGGAGUGCUAGUGCCAUCCUGAUUCCUUUUCUCUCUUUUUGUUUCUUUUAUUCUACCCAGUUAUGUGGAGGGUUAUCCUUUUUGGAGGUUUAAGUUUUUCUGCCAGCAUUCAGUAGAUGUUCUGUGUGAAUCAUUCUACAUAUAGAUGAAUCUUUUUGAUGUGUUUGUGAGAGAAGGUGAGCACCAUGUCUUACUCCUCUGCCAUCUUUAUCCUUUCAUUACACUCUUGAUUACUGUAGCUUUGUAAUAUCAUCUGAUGUCUGGGAGAGUUAUGUCUCCUGCUUCCCCCUCUGCCCCAGAAUUUCUUUGGCAAUCCUGGGUCUUUUAUAGUUACGUGGAAAUUUCUGGAUUAUUUAUUAUAGUUCCGUAAAAAAACAUCAUGAACAAUUUCAUAGGGCUCACAUUAAAUCUGUAGAUUGCUUUGGGUAGUAUGGCCAUUUUAAAAAGAUUAAUUCCUCCAAUCCAGAAAGAUGGGAUUUUUCCAUUUCUUUGAAUCCUCUUUAAUUUCCUUAAUUAAUAUUCUUUAUUUCUCAACAUAUAAAUCUUUCACCUCCUUGUUCAGGUUUAUUCCUAGGUAUUUUAAUUUUUUGGGUAUAAUUUUAAAAUGUAACUUUUUAUAUUCCUUUUCUAAUAUUUCAUUUUUAAUAUAUGGAAAUGCAACCAAUUUCUGAAUGUUAAUCUUGUAUCCUGCUACUUUGCUGAGUUUGUUGAUCAGAUCCAGUGGUUUGUAUAUGGAGUCUUUAGGAUUGUCUGUAUAUAGUAAUUACAGUUUUAACUCUUCUCUUCCAAUUUGGAUACCUUUUGUUUGUUGGGUUGCUGUGGCUAGGACUUCUAAUACUAUGUUGAAUAAAAGUGCUGAGAGUGGACAUCCUUUUCUUGUUCCAGAUUUUAGAGGGAAGGAUUUUAUCUUUUCUCCAUUGAGUAUUAUAUUGGCUGUGGAUUUGUUAUAAAUGGCUUUUUAUUAUAUUAGGGUAUGUUCCUUUUCUACCAACUUUGCUAAGAGUUUGUAUCAUGAAUGGAUGUUGGACUUUGUCAAAUGCUUUUUCUGCAUCUAUUGAGAUGAUCAUGUGGUUUUUGACUUUUCUUUUGUUAAGGUGGUGUAUGACGUUGAUUGAUUUGCAUAUGUUGAACCAUCCUUGUAAACCUGCGAUGAAUCCCACUUGGUCAUGGUUAUGAUCUUUUGUAUGUGUUGUUGGAUUCAGUUGGCUAAAAUUUUCUUGAGCAUUUCUGAAUCUAUAUUCAUCAAAGAUAUUAGCCUACAAUUUUCUUUUUUGGUAGUACCUUUGAUUAAUUUUGGUAUUAGGGUGAUGGUAGCUUCAUAGAAUGACUUUGGGAGUAUUGCUUCUUUUUGGUCUCUGGAAGAGUUUAAGAAGGAUGGGUAUAAGUUCUUCCUUGUAUGUUUGGUAGAAUUCACCUGUGAGGCCACAAUUAUAUGCUAAUAAAUUCAAAAAUCUAGGAGAAAUGGGCAAAUUUCUAGAACCACAGAGCUCACCAAAGAUGAAUUUAAAAAAACAAUAGAUGAUAUGAACAGACUAAUCACUAGAAAUGAAAUGGAAUAUGUAAUUUUAAAACUCCCUGCAAACAUUCAUAUUUUAAUACAAGAUUUUAUAAAUUUAAUAAACAUUAGUUACCCUAUUAUUAUAUUACCAUUAUUCUAUCAUUUUAGUGACAAAAUACUAUCAUAUUUUCAUUUUAUAUAAAUGUUACAUAUAUGUGUAUGUGUGUGUAUUUUUUUUAUAUCCUUUUGCAAGAUUUACCUUGAGUGUGAUUUGUUUUUGGUCCUAAGGAUGGAUCUGAAUUUAGAUUAUGAUUUUCACAGUUUAUGCAAAGCUGAACAGUGUGUGUUGUUGAUAUUCAAUAAUAAAUGACUAUUGUCUAUGUCUCUAAUGAUAGGUGAGCCAGGUCUGGCUUUAAAGAGAAGUUGCUAUUCAAACAUACACUUAUUUUAUCUCUAGCACCAUAAUGUGUUGUUGGGUCUUACCUAUUCUCAUGGCUCCCCAGGACUCCUAAUAUACCUGUUUGCCCAGGUUAUGUGAUUUUUCAUAGCCCCCUCUCAAAAACAAACAAACAAAACUACCCAAGGCUUCAAGAAAAUAAUUAUAUUUGUAGAAGGAUAACAUCUGCUUGUCCACAAAUCAUAAACCCAUAGUUCUCUGAGUUGUCCCAACAUGAGCCCACUCAUGAAACUGCCACAUAUGUCAGGAAAUAACGAAGCUUAAGGUAGUAUCACAACAAUCUUAAUUGGGAGCACCACUCAAGUUCUGAUGUUUGAAAUGAAAUUUUUCACAAAAUAUUUACAUAGUUUUAGUUCAAGGUGUAUAUAGGUAAAAUGUUUCAAAUAUUGUAUGUGCAUUGGUGAAAUCUCCCAUUUUUAAAUAUAACAAAUAUGAAUAUAAAUGUCAUGACAAUGUUAAUAUGAUGUAAAAACUAAAAAAAAAAAACCAAAAAACUUUGAUUUGUACCCUAUAAUUUCAGAAUUGAAUUAUAACUCUGGUUCAUAAAAAUCCUAUUAAGAAUGAGUUUUUCUUCAAAACAAUGCUCUUUAAAAUAAUCUUUUGAAAAUUAUGCUAAUUUUUUUUCUUUUGCAAAACUUUUGCAUAGGUACCAUGUUAUUUAUUUCUUCCUUCCUCCUUUGUUUUCUCUUUCCUUUUACUCAUCUUUAAUAGAAAAGUAGGUUUACCUAGCAUUGCUAUUUGUCUUAAAAGUCAUCAGGAUGGACAGUAAGGAUAGAUUCAAGUUUAUUGAACAAGGUUAAAAUGUCAUUCUCAGAAUUUAAGCCAAAGACCUGAUUAAUAAUGUUUACAUUAUCCUUGUAGUUAUACAAAUAGUCUGAAGGGAUGAAGAGAGACAGGUCAUUUUAGUAUUUUUGAUGUUUUCUCCAUAUGUUAAAGUACUGCCCCUGUAAUCCAUAUCUAUUGCAAUUUCUUUUCUUCAAGUAUACAGUGUACCAUAUCUUUUCAUCUUUGUUUUUCAUCUGCCUUUAGAAUGAAUUUAACUCCUUAUCAAGUUGUACUCUAGAUGCUCUGCUUAGAAAUGGAAGACCUGGAUUAGAGAAAUGUCCUAAUACUUAUGGCUUCCUAUUUUAGUGCCUCUGUAUGUUGUACAACACUCAUCAAUGACCUUCUGAUUAUUGGUCAGCGUUGCAAACUGCCUUCGAGUGAAUCAAUCCCCAUCUCCCUCCUUUGGUUUAGGUGGCCUCGAGACUUUUCCCUUCAGGGUAAGGAUGGAGCCUUAUUGAAGUGAACCUGGGGAGUUCCUAUCAUGGCUCAAUGGUUAACAAAUCCGACUAGGAACCACGAGGUUGCGGGUUCAAUCCCUGGCCUCGCUCAGUGGGUUAAGGAUCUGGCAUCGCCAUGAGCUGUGGUGUAGGUCGCAGACGUGGCUUGGAUCCCGAGUUGCUGUGGCUGUGGUGUAGACUGGUGGCUACAGCUCUGAUUAGACCCCUAACCUGGGAACCUGCAGAUGCCACAAGUGCGGCCCUAGAAAAGACAAAAAAAAAA
rnacentral:lncRNA from 1 species